UACGUAGGGUGCGAGCGUUGUCCGGAAUUAUUGGGCGUAAAGGGCUCGUAGGCGGUUUGUCGCGUCGGGAGUGAAAUCCACUGGCUUAACUGGUGGCUUGCUUUCGAUACGGGCAGACUGGAGGUAUGCAGGGGAGAACGGAAUUCCUGGUGUAGCGGUGAAAUGCGCAGAUAUCAGGAGGAACACCGAUGGCGAAGGCAGGUCUCUGGGCCACUACUGACGCUGGAGAAGCGAAAGCAUGGGGAGCGAACAGG
rnacentral:rRNA from 1 species